rnacentral:snoRNA from 1 species
GCCUUCUCUACCAUUGUACCUGGAGAGUUUCCAGUCCUCUACCAGUCUCAGCUGUGGGAGGGAGAGUCAAGCAGAGGCUUAGCCAUUCCAUUCCUAGCUUGGUCGGUGGCUAGCGAGUGGAAGGCAAUCUGCUAAAAGU